rnacentral:rRNA from 1 species
CCUACGGGCGGCAGCAGUUGGGAAUAUUGGGCAAUGGGCACAAGCCUGACCCAGCAACGCCGCGUGAAGGAAGAAGGCUUUCGGGUUGUAAACUUCUUUUCUCAGGGACGAAGCAAGUGACGGUACCUGAGGAAUAAGCCACGGCUAACUACGUGCCAGCAGCCGCGGUAAUACGUAGGUGGCAAGCGUUAUCCGGAUUUACUGGGUGUAAAGGGCGUGUAGGCGGGACUGCACGGCAGAUGUGAAACCCACGGGCUCAACCUGUGGCCUGCAUUUGAAACUGUAGUUCUUGAGUACUGGAGAGGCAGACGGAAUUCCUAGUGGAGCGGUGAAAUGCGUAGAUAUUAGGAGGAACACCAGUGGCGAAGGCGGUCUGCUGGACAGCAACUGACGCUGAGGCGCGAAAGCGUGGGGAGCAAACAGGAUUAGAUACCCUUGUAGUC